UACAGAGGUCUCAAGCGUUGUUCGGAUUCAUUGGGCGUAAAGGGUGCGUAGGCGGCUUGGCAAGUCGGAUGUGAAAACUCCAGGCUCAACCUGGAGCCGCCAUUCGAUACUGCUAUGGCUAGAGUCCGGUAGGGGAGUGUGGAAUUCCCGGUGUAGCGGUGAAAUGCGCAGAUAUCGGGAGGAACACCGAUGGCGAAGGCAGCACUCUGGGCCGGCACUGACGCUGAGGAGCGAAAGCGUGGGGAGCGAACAGG
rnacentral:rRNA from 1 species